rnacentral:rRNA from 1 species
AUGAACAUUGGAAACAUGGUUGUGAUUGAGGACAACGAGCCCAUGACAAGACGGCUCACGCUCACCACCAUUAGAGAUGAGGAAACUGUAGUUCUGCAGACUGCUUUGCUAUCGCAGCAGUUGCUGCUGCAGUGCAAGCUAUGGCUUAACAGAGGAAGUAAUGGAGAUUCAUUCAGAGAGAUUUUUUUGAGGAUAUUCAGAGAGAAAUAUUGCUGCCUUGGGGUGCUGUUGCUGCUUGUUCAGUACUACUAUAUACUCCCUCCGUUCCCAAAUAUUUGUCUUUUUAAAGAUUUCAACAAGUGA